rnacentral:rRNA from 1 species
GGAUAGGGGUUCUGAGAGGAAGGUCCCCCACAUUGGAACUGAGACACGGUCCAAACUCCUACGGGAGGCAGCAGUGAGGAAUAUUGGUCAAUGGGCGCGAGCCUGAACCAGACAAGUAGCGUGAAGGAUGACUGCCCUAUGGGUUGUAAACUUCUUUUAUACGGGAAUAAAGUCACUUACGUGUAAGUGUUUGUAUGUACCUUAUGAAUAAGCAUCGGCUAACUCCGUGCCAGCAGCCGCGGUAAUACGGAGGAUGCGAGCGUUAUCCGGAUUUAUUGGGUUUAAAGGGAGCGUAGAUGGGCUUUUAAGUCAGUUGUGAAAUUCUGCGGCUCAACCGUAGGACUGCAGUUGAAACUGGGAGCCUUGAGUGCAGUUGAGGUGCAUGGAAUUCGUGGUGUAGCGGUGAAAUGCUUAGAUAUCACGAAGAACUCCGAUUGCGAAGGCAGUGCACCAAGCUGUAACUGACAUUGAUGCUCGAAAGUGUGGGUAUCAAACAGGAUUAGAUACCCUGGUAGUCCACACGGUAAACGAUGAAUACUCGCUGUUGGCGAUACAUGGUCAGCGGCCAAGCGAAAGCAUUAAGUAUUCCACCUGGGGAGUAC